rnacentral:rRNA from 1 species
UACGAAGGGGGCUAGCGUUGCUCGGAAUCACUGGGCGUAAAGGGUGCGUAGGCGGGUCUUUUAAGUCAGGGGUGAAAUCCUGGAGCUCAACUCCAGAACUGCCUUUGAUACUGAAGAUCUUGAGUUCGGGAGAGGUGAGUGGAACUGGCGAGUGUAGAGGUGAAAUUCGUAGAUAUUCGCAAGAACACCAGUGGCGAAGGCGGCUCACUGGCCCGGUACUGACGCUGAGGUGCGAA